rnacentral:tRNA from 1 species
GGGCUCGUGGUAUAACGGUAGAACAGACCCUUGGCUAGGGUCAGAUUCGGGUUCGAUUCCCGACGAGUCCA